ensembl:lncRNA
CCUCUCUCUGUCUCCCUCCCCUGUCUCUCUCUGUCUCAGUCCCCCUCCGUCUACCUGUUACUCGCUCUCUCUCUCUCACAAACACACACACACACACACACACACACACACACACACACACACACACACACACGUGUCCAGUGACCUCCUCAGUGCUGGGCCUGUGUAGAUAUUUUUGGGCAGUGUGGGAAAGAGUCUGUCUAGUAGUCUGCAUAAUGACUCAACAAAGAGGCAAACAGAAAAAACAACUACGUGUUUAGAGAGUUGGCAAUGGCAUUAAUGAGUUCCAGGGUGAAAUGUCCUCUAGAUACAGAUCUAGGAUCAUCUACCUCUUCUCCAAUCCACAACCUUAACCAACCAUGAGGAAUAUGCAAAACUGGCCCAAGAUCAGUAUCUAGGAGAAAACUUCAAUCCUGUCUCAGAGCUCUACUCUAAUUGUCCGUAGAGCUCUGAGACAGGAUUGUGUCGAGGCACAGAUCUGGGGGAAGGGUACCAAAAAAAUGUCUGCAGCAUUGAAGGUCUCCAAGAACACAGUGGUCUCCAUCAGUCUUAAAUGCAGAAGUUUGGAACCACCAAGACUCUUCCUAGAGCUUGCCGACCGGCCAAACUGAGCAAUUGGUGGAGAAUGGCCUUGGUCAGGGAGGUGACCAAGAACCCCGAUGGUCACUUUGACAGAGCUCCAGAGUUCCUCUGUGGAGAUGGGAGAACCUUCCAGAAGGACAACCAUCUCUGCAGCACUCUACCAAUCAGGCCUUUAGAGGGGCCAGACGGGAGCCACUCCUCAGUAAAAGGCACAUGACAGCCUGCUUGGAGUUUGCCAAAAGGCACCUAAAAGACUCUCAGACCAUGAUGGUCUGAUGAAACCAAUAUUGAACUCUUUGGCCUGAAUGCCAAGAGUCACGCUUGGAGGAAACCUGGCACCACUGGAGUAAAGUACAGAGAGAUCCUUGAUGAAAACCUGCUCCAGAGCGCUCAGGACCUCAAACUGGGGUGAUGGUUCACCUUCCAACAGGACAACGACCCUAAGGACACAGCCAAGACAACGCAGGAGUGGCUUCGGGACAAGUCUUUGAAUGUCCUUGAGUGGCCCAGCCAGAGCCCGGACUUGAAACCGAUUGAACAUCUCUGAAGAGACCUGAAAACAGCUGUGCAGUGACGUUCCUCAUCCAACCUGACAGAGCUUGAGAGGAUCUGCAGAGAAGUGAGAAACUCCCCAAAUACAGGUGUGCCAAGCUUGUAGCGUCAUACCCAAGAAGACUCUAGGCUGUAAUCUCCAUAGGUCUACCAACACCCCAAUAUAUCUCCAUAGGUCUACCAACACCCCAAUAUAUCUCCAUAGGCCGACCAACACUCCAAUAUAUCUCCAUAGAUCUACCAACACCCCAAUAUAUCUCCAUAGGCCGACCAACACCCCAAUAUAUCUCCAUAGGUCUACCAACACCCCAAUAUAUCUCCAUAGGUCUACCAACACCCCAAUAUAUCUCCAUAGAUCUACCAACACCCCAAAUAACCAUCACCCCAAAUAACCAUCACCCCAAAUAACCAUCACCCCAAAUAACCAUCACCCCAAAUAACCAACACCCCAAAUAACCAACACCCCAAAUAACCAUCACCCCAAAUAACCAACACCCCAAAUAACCAACACCCCAAAUAACCAUCACUCCAAAUAACCAACACCCCAAAUAACCAUCACCCCAAAUAACCAUCACCCCAAAUAACCAUCACCCCAAAUAACCAACACCCCAAAUAACCAACACCCCAAAUAACCAACACCCCAAAUAACCAAAAAAGAUGCCUCAAGACAUAAAUCCUCUGUAGUUAGUUAGCCCAUUUUGAAUGGAUUUUAAAGGGAUAAUUUCAGGGUGAAUGCCAAGUGUCACUGAUCUCACUGCCUGUGUCCCAAAUGGGACCCUAUUCGCUAUAUAGUUCACUACUUUUGACGAGAGACCUAUGGGCCCAGGUCAAAUGUAUUGCCCUAAAUAGGGAAUUGGUUGCCAUUUGGGACACAGACACUGUGUGCUGAAGUAAACACUCCAGUAGGUCUAGAGUUGUUUGAGAGUUGUUUGAGAGUUGUUUUAUAGUUGUUUUAGAGUUGUUUUAGAGUUGUUUGAGAGUUGUUUGAGAGUUGUUUGAGAGUUGUUCGAGAGUUGUCCGAGAGUUGUCCGAGAGUUGCUCUAGGUGAAGCAUCCUGUCUUUGUUUUUUGAAGGUUUUGUAGCCCAUCAACCACUAGCGCUAGCCUGGGUAACCACUAGCGCUAGCCUGGGUAACCACUAGCGCUAGCCUGGGUAACCACUAGCGCUAGCCUGGGUAACCACUAGCGCUAGCCUGGGUAACCACUAGCGCUAGCCUGGGUAACAGUAUGAUUGUGCUAUCAUUCUACUUCUUGCCACUCCCUGUCAACAGUCCUGCUUGUAGACAACCAGGAAACAGCCCUGCUUGUAGACAACCAGGAAACAGCCCUGCUUGUAGACAACCAGGAAACAGCACUGCUUGUAGACAACCAGGAAACAGCCCUGCUUGUAGACAACCAGGAAACAGCCCUGCUUGUAGACAACCAGGAAACAGCCCUGCUUGUAGACAACCAGGAAACAGCCCUGCUUGUAGACAACCAGGAAACAGCACUGCUUGUAGACAACCAGGAAACAGCCCUGCUUUUAGACAACCAGGAAACAGCCCUGCUUGUAGACAACCAGGAAACAGCCCUGCUUGUAGACAACCAGGAAACAGACUUGCUUGUAGACAACCAGGAAACAGCCCUGCUUGUAGACAACCAGGAAACAGCACUGCUUGUAGACAACCAGGAAACAGCCCUGCUUGUAGACAACCAGGAAACAGCCCUGCUUGUAGACAACCAGGAAACAGCCCUGCUUGUAGACAACCAGGAAACAGCCCUGCU